GCGGUUGUGGCGAAGUGGUUAACGCACCGGAUUGUGGCUCCGGCACUCGUGGGUUCGAGUCCCAUCAACCGCCCCA
rnacentral:tRNA from 1 species